AACUAAGUUUUAAUUUAAUCCUAGUUGAAACCUUAAUAUAAUUUAAUUAAAUUCUAGAUAAAUCUUAAAUCCUAAAUCAAAUCCUAGAUAAAUCUUAAAUCUUAAAUCAAGUCUUAAAUCAAAUCCUAGACAAACACUUAAACUCUAAAUCAAAUCCUAAAUCCUAAAUUAAAUCAUAAAUCAAAUCCUAGAAAAAUUCUAAAUCCUAAACCAAAUCCUAACAAUUCUUAAAUUCUAAAUUAAAUCUUAGAAAAAUCCUAAUUCUUAAACCAAAUCUUAGACAAAUCCUAAAUCCUAAAUCGAAUCCUAAAUCAAAUCCUAAAUCAAAUUCUAAUCCUACUUAAUCUAAUCCUAGUAUAAUUUAAAACCUCAAUAUCUAUCAAUUGAACCAUUGAUCUUGCUUAAAAAUUUACAUGCCUUU
rnacentral:lncRNA from 1 species